GCACUACUCCCGACGUGACACAACAUCCUGCAGCGAUGUUGUCCGACCUGCCGUGUCACAUGUCGGCGAGCGUGC
rfam:Torrubiella hemipterigena genome assembly, contig: SCAF2